rnacentral:rRNA from 1 species
AGUGAACGCUGGCGGUAGGCCUAACACAUGCAAGUCGAACGGCAGCACAGUAAGAGCUUGCUCUUACGGGUGGCGAGUGGCGGACGGGCGAGGAAUACAUCGGAAUCUACUUUUUCGUGGGGGAUAACGUAGGGAAACUUACGCUAAUACCGCAUACGACCUACGGGUGAAAGCAGGGGAUCUUCGGACCUUGCGCGAUUGAAUGAGCCGAUGUCGGAUUAGCUAGUUGGCGGGGUAAAGGCCCGCCAAGGCGACGAUCCGUAGCUGGUCUGAGAGGAUGAUCAGCCACACUGGAACUGAGACACGGUCCAGACUCCUACGGGAGGCAGCAGUGGGGAAUAUUGGACAAUGGGCGCAAGCCUGAUCCAGCCAUACCGCGUGGGUGAAGAAGGCCUUCGGGUUGUAAAGCCCUUUUGUUGGGAAAGAAAAGCAGCAGGUUAAUACCCCGCUGUUCUGACGGUACCCAAAGAAUAAGCACCGGCUAACUUCGUG